GUGGCUUUCUUAUGUCGACAUUUUGAUUGGAUGGGUUUUGCUUUAUUCUCUCUCUUACAUAUUGCCAUCUAUAUUUAUGUUUUGCGCUUUCUUGUUCAUCUAUAUUUUUAAGGAGAUCUAUUUUUUUUUAUCAUCUAUUUUUUUUUCCUCAAUGAUGGGUACUUCAUCUAGUGGUGUUGUUCUCUGUGAGAUGGCACAGGCCAGGCCUUUUUGUAAGAGGUCUUUUACAAAUUGUGGGAGCUGUAUGUUUCCUAUAACUGCAAUUACGUUGUUUAAUUCAAGUUUGGUAGUUCUUCUGGACACGUUUUGUUUUUUGAACACCCAUUUAAGCUUUUUGAUAUGUCAUUCACGCAACUUACGUCCUUUAUAAUUGGCUUCUCUUUCUAGAAAUUCAAUAAGAUGCACUGAGGUAGAUAUAGUAAGCAAGAUGCUUUUUAUUUCCUUUUCUUUUUUCAUUAGAGUGUGGAAUCUUCUUUUUGCGUCCUGGGUGGCGGCUAUCAGGAAAAUUCUUUUCGUGUUUUGUAGUACUUUCUUUGAUUUUACAGGUAAUGUUAUGUUGUGAAUUGAAGUCAGAUACACUAUUUAGUUUGCAUUGUUUUAGGAAUGUCCACGUUUCAAAGGCUUUAGUCCAUUUAAGGAGUAUUUUCGAGUAUUUCCUGAUCAGCUGGUUCUGCUGUUGGUUCUCCAUUAAGAAAAAUAAGAUUUAUACUGCAUAUUCACGAAAUACGUUGAUAAACUGUAGUAUAACAGACAAAAAUACUCAAUGCAGUUGUGGGAG
rnacentral:lncRNA from 1 species